GAGUGCGGGCCCUCGCGGCCCAACCUCCCACCCUUGUCUCUAUACACCUGUUGCUUUGGCGGGCCCACCGGGGCCACCUGGUCGCCGGGGGACGUCGUCUCCGGGCCCGCGCCCGCCGAAGCGCUCUGUGAACCCUGAUGAAGAUGGGCUGUCUGAGUACUAUGAAAAUUGUCAAAACUUUCAACAAUGGAUCUCUUGGUUCC
rnacentral:misc_RNA from 1 species